rnacentral:rRNA from 1 species
UACGGAGGAUCCAAGCGUUAUCCGGAUUUAUUGGGUUUAAAGGGAGCGUAGGUUGACAUAUAAGUCAGCUGUGAAAGUUUACGGCUUAACCGUGAAAUUGCAGUUGAUACUGUAUGUCUUGAGUGUACAAGAGGUGGGCGGAAUUCGUGGUGUAGCGGUGAAAUGCUUAGAUAUCACGAAGAACUCCAAUUGCGAAGGCAGCUCACUGGGGUACAACUGACACUGAGGCUCGAAAGUGUGGGUAUCAAACAGGAUUAGAUACCCUGGUAGUCCACACAGUAAACGAUGAAUACUCGCUGUUUGCGAUAUACAGUAAGCGGCCAAGCGAAAGCAUUAAGUAUUCCACCUGGGGAGUACGCCGGCAACGGUGAAACUCAAAGGAAUUGACGGGGGCCCGCACAAGCGGAGGAACAUGUGGUUUAAUUCGAUGAUACGCGAGGAACCUUACCCGGGCUUGAAUUGCAGAGGAACAUAGUUGAAAGAUUAUGGCCGCAAGGUCUCUGUGAAGGUGCUGCAUGGUUGUCGUCAGCUCGUGCCGUGAGGUGUCGGCUUAAGUGCCAUAACGAGCGCAACCCUUAUCAUUAGUUACUAACAGGUCAUGCUGAGGACUCUAGUGAGACUGCCGUCGUAAGAUGUGAGGAAGGUGGGGAUGACGUCAAAUCAGCACGGCCCUUACGUCCGGGGCUACACACGUGUUACAAUGGGGGGUACAGAGGGCAGCUACCGGGCGGCCGGAUGCCAAUCCCAAAAACCUCUCUCAGUUCGGAUCGAAGUCUGCAACCCGACUUCGUGAAGCUGGAUUCGCUAGUAAUCGCGCAUCAGCCACGGCGCGGUGAAUACGUUCCCGGGCCU